GUGCUUGCUUCAGCAGCAUAUAUACCAGAAUUGGAACGAUGCAGAGAAAAUUAGCAUGGCCCCUGCGCAAGGAUGACACACACAUUUGUGAAGCGUUCCAUGGCUAC